AGAGUUUGAUCCUGGCUCAGGACGAACGCUGGCGGCGUGCUUAACACAUGCAAGUCGAACGAGAGGAGAAGAGAAGCUUGCUUCUUUUCGAAUCGAGUGGCAAACGGGUGAGUAACACGUAAACAACCUGCCUUCAGGAUGGGGACAACAGACGGAAACGACUGCUAAUACCGAAUACGCUCAGAGAGCCGCAUGGCUUUCUGAGGAAAGGGUGGCCUCUACCUGUAAGCUAUCGCCUGAAGAGGGGUUUGCGUCUGAUUAGGCAGUUGGUGAGGUAACGGCCCACCAAACCUACGAUCAGUAGCCGGUCUGAGAGGAUGAACGGCCACACUGGAACUGAGACACGGUCCAGACUCCUACGGGAGGCAGCAGUGGGGAAUAUUGCACAAUGGGCGCAAGCCUGAUGCAGCCAUGCCGCGUGUAUGAAGAAGGCCUUCGGGUUGUAAAGUACUUUCAGCGGGGAGGAAGGGAGUAAAGUUAAUACCUUUGCUCAUUGACGUUACCCGCAGAAGAAGCACCGGCUAACUCCGUGCCAGCAGCCGCGGUAAUACGGAGGGUGCAAGCGUUAAUCGGAAUUACUGGGCGUAAAGCGCACGCAGGCGGUCUGUCAAGUCGGAUGUGAAAUCCCCGGGCUCAACCUGGGAACUGCAUUCGAAACUGGCAGGCUAGAGUCUUGUAGAGGGGGGUAGAAUUCCAGGUGUAGCGGUGAAAUGCGUAGAGAUCUGGAGGAAUACCGGUGGCGAAGGCGGCCCCCUGGACGAAGACUGACGCUCAGGUGCGAAAGCGUGGGGAGCAAACAGGAUUAGAUACCCUGGUAGUCCACGCCGUAAACGAUGUCGACUUGGAGGUUGUGCCCUUGAGGCGUGGCUUCCGGAGCUAACGCGUUAAGUCGACCGCCUGGGGAGUACGGCCGCAAGGUUAAAACUCAAAUGAAUUGACGGGGGCCCGCACAAGCGGUGGAGCAUGUGGUUUAAUUCGAUGCAACGCGAAGAACCUUACCUGGUCUUGACAUCCACAGAACUUUCCAGAGAUGGAUUGGUGCCUUCGGGAACUGUGAGACAGGUGCUGCAUGGCUGUCGUCAGCUCGUGUUGUGAAAUGUUGGGUUAAGUCCCGCAACGAGCGCAACCCUUAUCCUUUGUUGCCAGCGGUCCGGCCGGGAACUCAAAGGAGACUGCCAGUGAUAAACUGGAGGAAGGUGGGGAUGACGUCAAGUCAUCAUGGCCCUUACGAGUAGGGCUACACACGUGCUACAAUGGCGCAUACAAAGAGAAGCGACCUCGCGAGAGCAAGCGGACCUCAUAAAGUGCGUCGUAGUCCGGAUUGGAGUCUGCAACUCGACUCCAUGAAGUCGGAAUCGCUAGUAAUCGUGGAUCAGAAUGCCACGGUGAAUACGUUCCCGGGCCUUGUACACACCGCCCGUCACACCAUGGGAGUGGGUUGCAAAAGAAGUAGGUAGCUUAACCUUCGGGAGGGCGCUUACCACUUUGUGAUUCAUGACUGGGGUGAAGUCGUAACAAGGUAACCGUAGGGGAACCUGCGGUUG
rnacentral:rRNA from 1 species